UACAGAGGUCUCAAGCGUUGUUCGGAAUUACUGGGCGUAAAGGCUCGUAGGCGGCCAACUAAGUCAUACGUGAAAUCCCUCGGCUUAACCGGGGAACUGCGUCUGAUACUGGAUGGCUUGAAUCCGGGAGAGGGAUGCAGAAUUCCAGGUGUAGCGGUGAAAUGCGUAGAUAUCUGGAGGAAUACCGGUGGCGAAGGCGGCAUCCUGGACCGGCAUUGACGCUGAGGAGCGAAAGCUAGGGGAGCAAACGGG
rnacentral:rRNA from 1 species